rnacentral:rRNA from 1 species
CCAGACUCCUACGGGAGGCAGCAGUGAGGAAUAUUGGUCAAUGGGCGGGAGCCUGAACCAGCCAAGUCGCGUGAGGGAAGACGGCCCUACGGGUUGUAAACCUCUUUUGUCGGGGAGCAAAGCGAACCACGUGUGGUUCAUUGAGAGUACCCGAAGAAAAAGCAUCGGCUAACUCCGUGCCAGCAGCCGCGGUAAUACGGAGGAUGCGAGCGUUAUCCGGAUUUAUUGGGUUUAAAGGGUGCGUAGGCGGCUUGUUAAGUCGGGGGUAACGGCCCGGGGCUCACCCCCGGCGAGCCGUUGAAACUGGCUGUCUUGAGAUGUCGAGAGGUAUGCGGAAUGCGCAGUGUAGCGGUGAAAUGCUUAGAUAUUGCGCAGAACUCCGAUUGCGAAGGCAGCAUACCGGCGGCGAUCUGACGCUGAGGCACGAAAGCGUGGGGAUCGAACAGGAUUAGAUACCCCCGUAAAU